CUGCAUUUUACCCCUAUGUUCUAUUUUUAGCCAUGGCGGCCAUCUUGGUUGGUUGACCGGGUCACGCCACACAUUUUCUAAACUAGAUAUCUCAAAGAUGAUUGUGGCCAAGUUUGGAUUAAUUUGGCCCAGUAGUUUCAGAGGAGAAGAUUUUUGUAAAAGAUUACUAAAAUUUACGAAAAAUGGUUAAAAAUUGACUAUAAAGGUCAAUAACUCCUAAAGGGGUCAAUUGACCAUUUUGGUCAUGUUGACUUAUUUGUAAAUCUUACUUUGCUGAACAUUAUUGCUGUUUACAGUUUAUCUCUAUCUAUAAUAAUAUUCAAGAUAAU
rnacentral:lncRNA from 1 species